rfam:Podospora anserina genomic DNA, chromosome 4.
GGUCCGCUGGCGUAAUGGCAGCGCGUCUGACUACGAUUACCCAAUCAAAUAAUCAGGAGGUUCCAGGUUCGACCCCUGGGCGGAUCG